rnacentral:rRNA from 1 species
GACGUAGGGUGCAAGCGUUGUCCGGAUUUAUUGGGCGUAAAGAGCUCGUAGGCGGCUUGUUGCGUCGACUGUGAAAACCCGCGGCUUAACCGCGGGCUUGCAGUUGAUACGGGCAGGCUAGAGUUCGGUAGGGGAGACUGGAAUUCCUGGUGUAGCGGUGAAAUGCGCAGAUAUCAGGAGGAACACCGGUGGCGAAGGCGGAUCUCUGGGCCAUUACUGACGCUGAGACGCGAAAGCGUGGGGAGCAAACAGG